GAUGAACGCUGGCGGCGUGCCUAAUACAUGCAAGUCGAGCGAACAGACGAGGAGCUUGCUCCUCUGACGUUAGCGGCGGAUGGGUGAGUAACACGUGGCUAACCUACCUAUAAGACUGGGGUAACUUCGGGAGACCGGAGCUAAUACCGGAUAAUAUAGUGAACCGGAUGGUUCAAUAGUGAUAGAGGGUUUUGAUGUCACUUAGAGAUGGAUCCGCGCCGCAUUAGCUAGUUGGUAAGGUAACGGCUUACCAAGGCAACGAUGCGUAGCCGACCUGAGAGGGUGAUCGGCCACACUGGAACUGAGACACGGUCCAGACUCCUACGGGAGGCAGCAGUAGGGAAUCUUGCGCAAUGGGCGAAAGCCUGACGGAGCAACGCCGCGUGAGUGAUGAAGGUCUUCGGAUCGUAAAACUCUGUUAUUAGGGAAGAACAAAUGUGUAAGUAACUAUGCACGUCUUGACGGUACCUAAUCAGAAAGCCACGGCUAACUACGUG
rnacentral:rRNA from 1 species